UACGUAGGGUGCGAGCGUUUAAUCGGAAUUACUGGGCGUAAAGCGUGCGCAGGCGGUUUUGUAAGCCAGAUGUGAAAUCCCCGGGCUUAACCUGGGAAUGGCAUUUGGGACUGCAAGGCUUGAGUGCGGCAGAGGAGACUGGAAUUCCUGGUGUAGCAGUGAAAUGCGUAGAUAUCAGGAGGAACACCGAUGGCGAAGGCAGGUCUCUGGGCCAUUACUGACGCUGAGGAGCGAAAGCGUGGGGAGCGAACAGG
rnacentral:rRNA from 1 species